UACGAAGGGGGCUAGCGUUGCUCGGAAUUACUGGGCGUAAAGGGUGCGUAGGCGGUUGUUUAAGUUUGGUGUGAAAUCUCCCGGCUCAACUGGGAGGGUGCGCCGAAUACUGAAUGACUAGAGUGCGGGAGAGGAGAGUGGAAUUCCUGGUGUAGCGGUGAAAUGCGUAGAUAUCAGGAGGAACACCGGUGGUGUAGACGGCUCUCUGGACCGUAACUGACGCUGAGGCACGAAAGCGUGGGUAGCAAACAGG
rnacentral:rRNA from 1 species